rnacentral:rRNA from 1 species
UAAAGUGGCGCACGGGUGAGUAACGCGUGGGUAAUCUUCCCCCGAAUUGGGGAUAACAUUGCGAAAGCGAUGCUAAUACCGGAUAAUAUCUUAGAUACUUAGGUAAUUAAGAUCAAAGGUGGCCUCUACAUGUAAGCUACUGUUUGGGGAUGAGCCCGCGUACCAUUAGCUUGUUGGUAGGGUAACGGCCUACCAAGGCAGCGAUGGUUAGCUGGUCUGAGAGGAUGAUCAGCCACACUGGAACUGACACACGGUCCAGACUCCUACGGGAGGCAGCAGUGAGGAAUUUUGCGCAAUGGGGGAAACCCUGACGCAGCAACGCCGCGUGAGUGAUGAAGGCUUUCGGGUCGUAAAGCUCUGUCAAGUGGGAAGAAACCACAAGGUGUUAAUACCACCAUGUGCUGACGGUACCACUGAAGGAAGCACCGGCUAACUCCGUGCCAGCAGCCGCGGUAAUACGGGGGGUGCAAGCGUUAUUCGGAAUUACUGGGCGUAAAGAGCGCGUAGGCGGUCUUUUAAGUCAGGUGUGAAAGCCCGGGGCUCAACCCCGGAAGUGCACUUGAAACUAAGGGACUUGAGUAUGGGAGAGGGAAGUGGAAUUCCUGGUGUAGCGG